ensembl:snRNA U5 U5 spliceosomal RNA
AUACUCUGGUUUCCCUUCAGAUCGUAUAAAUCUUUCGCCUUUUACUAAAGAUUUCUGUGAAGAGGAAAAACUCUUAGUUUUAAGCUAAUUUUUAAGAGGCCUUGCUUUUUAGCAAGAC